rnacentral:rRNA from 1 species
AUUGAACGCUGGCGGCAUGCCUUACACAUGCAAGUCGAACGGCAGCACGGGAGCAAUCCUGGUGGCGAGUGGCGAACGGGUGAGUAAUAUAUCGGAACGUGCCCAGUCGUGGGGGAUAACGUAGCGAAAGCUACGCUAAUACCGCAUACGAUCUAUGGAUGAAAGCGGGGGAUCGCAAGACCUCGCGCGAUUGGAGCGGCCGAAAUCAGAUUAGGUAGUUGGUGAGGUAAAGGCCCACCAAGCCGACGAUCUGUAGCUGGUCUGAGAGGACGACCAGCCACACUGGGAAUGAGACACGGCCCAGACUCCUACGGGAGGCAGCAGUGGGGAAUUUUGGACAAUGGGCGCAAGCCUGAUCCAGCAAUGCCGCGUGCAGGAUGAAGGCCUUCGGGUUGUAAACUGCUUUUGUACGGAACGAAACGGCGAGCUCUAAUACAGUUUGCUAAUGACGGUACCGUAAGAAUAAGCACCGGCUAACUACGUGCCAGCCGCCGCAGUAAAAC